CUACCCUUAAGUUGGGGAUAACUAGUCGAAAGAUUAGCUAAUACCGAAUAAUAACAUCAAUAUCGCAUGAGAAGAUGUAGAAAGUCGCUCUUUGUGUCGACGCUUUUGGAUGAGGGUGCGACGUAUCAGAUAGUUGGUGAGGUAAUGGCUCACCAAGUCAAUGACGCGUAGCUGUACUGAGAGGUAGAACAGCCACAAUGGGACUGAGACACGGCCCAUACUCCUACGGGAGGCAGCAGCG
rnacentral:rRNA from 1 species